CCCACGCCGUUGUGUAAGUCGCUCUGGAUAAGAGCGUCUGCUAAAUGACUAAAA
rfam:Salmo salar isolate Sally breed double haploid chromosome ssa01, whole genome shotgun sequence.